CUCCCUUUUUUUCUUCCUUUCCUGUCUUCUUUCCUCCCUGUCCCUUCCUUCUGCCAACAAAUACUUAUUGAGCACCUUUUGUAUGCUGAGCCCUUGCUGGGUGUUGACCGUCCAGUGCUUUAGAAAACAGAUAUGAUCUCUGCCUUCUUGGAAGUUACAAACUAGUAAUAAUAAAGAAAAAUAUUUAAUUACAAAUUGAGAUAUGUGUGUAAAGAAUGCACCAAGAAAUUAUAAGAGAGGGACUUUAUUUAGGUUGGUUCAAGGAAAGGAAGCUGUGAACAUGGCAACUGAGCCCUGAAGAACAUAUGGCUGGAGCAAGAGCUGGCAAGCCCGGCUGCCACCUCUGCAGUGUGGAACACUGCCAUGCUGUUUGCCUGGCAUUUCAGGCCGCUUCUGCAACAGAGUGGCGGAGUUGACUGGUGGCAACAGAGGAUGAAUGGCUCGCAAAGCCUAAAAUGUUUGCUAUUUUACCUUUUAGAAAAAAAGUUUGGUGACCCCUGGUCUAGAAAAUACUUGAAGAUAAGGGCUACAAUGUUUCAUUUGGCCCAUGCCUUUUCAGGUAGGGUGGGCCAUGGACUUUGUAUGACUGAAACGUGUGGACACGAGUUACUUGGAUGUGAUAAUGUAUGUCUUGUCAUGGGGUAGACUUUAAGCAGGCAAGAAGCUUUCUCCAAAACUUGAGAUUACAUGUUUCAAAUGGAUUUUCCGUUUGUGGAGGGAGGUGUUAUGGUGUGGUGUUUGCAAGCUUAGCAUUUGGAAUUUUAUUGGGAAAGAUUAUUUUGGAUUCAGAUCUUGGCUCUACCACUUAUGACUGUGUUACUCCCUCUCAUUACUCUUCAGUUUUCUCAUCACUAGGACAGAGGUACUGUUAGUGCCCACUCCAUACAGGUAUUGUGAAAAUUACCUGAGAUUAAUGCAGACAGUACUUAGUACGAUGACUGACAUACAGUAAAUACUAUACAUACACUGUUAGUAUUUUUCAAAUACAAAAUAUUUUCAUAAAAUAACAUCAGUUUUCAUGAUGCCAUGCCAUAAACAAUAUUUAGUUUUUGUUUUUUUAUCCCAAUAGAAUUAAUUUUUUCACAGUCUGAGGAUAAAAACAAUAAUUUCUAGGUCACAAUUUUACAAUAUUUUGAAGCUGAUUUUAUAAUAUUUGGAAAUUAUUUGCAUAUUUACCAAAUUAAUGUUUGUUUUACUCUGGAAGUUUGUGGCAGAUCUGCCCCUCCCCCGCAGUGCUAUGUUUAGCAUGCUUCCUCCCACCUGCCUGCAGCUUUGCAUGCCCUUAAAUGUCCAUUAUCCUUCUCCUCUUCAUUCCUUCUGUCUACAGUCUGGGCCUAUAUUAGUCCUAUGGCUUUGAUUCCAUCCCCAUUCACACUGUAGUUCUCUGGUUCAUUUUCAGCUAAUUCAGGAGAGGGUCUGUUCUUCCAGCCUUUUCUUACUUUCCCUUUCUGGUCUAUAGUCCUUGCCUGGACGAGACCACCUCCCCCACUGCCUCCUCACAGUCCUUCUUUCCCUAAAGGUAUGGCUUGAUUCUACCUUCCCAUGGCUCUGACUGGCAGGAGUACUUGGGUGUAAGCUAACUGCCUUGCACACACCCUCAUCAGCUGUCCCCUUUCCUGAUGUGGACCUCAGUUCCCUCCUGAGCAAUGGCAUUCUCACCAUACUGCCCCAUGAAACUGGCACCAAGUCCUUCCCUUAAAAUGGCUAUCAGGUAGCCACCAGUCACUCACAGUAAUCUGGUGAGCAUGGCAGAGCGAACUAGCAAUGCACAGCAAGUGGGAUUGCUUGCAUACCAUAAUGAUGACUUUAUAGCACCAUGAAAAUUAGCACUGGCCUAGUUACUUGGUCAAGAAAAAAAUUCAGAACUCUUACAACAGAAAUCAGGUAGUGGGAUACACUCUGCUUCUGCUUUCAGAUCCUUUUUGGUUUGUUUCCAUUGGCUACAUGGUUACAGGGGAAAUACAAAUCAAACUUCUGUUCUCUGAACCCACUGACACAGAAAGCAGAGGUAUCAAAUGAUGAUGCCAGAGCUGCAGUAUACCUUAGAGAUCCUAAGUCCCACUGCCAUCAUGUGACAGAUAAGAACACAGGCAGGUUGAGCAAUUUACCCAGGAUCACAUGGAAGAAGAGUGGUAUUGAUAAAUGGGGGUAGGCUGAGGAUGUAUUUGCUGGGCAGUGGAAUGAUUGCAUCCUUGUGAUGUAUUCCACUGCCCAGCAAAUGAUUGAGCCAAAUAAUGAACGAAUGAAUGAAUGGACCAAAUAAUUCCUUGAGUCAAAUGUUCUUCCCUUUGUUUUAUUUUAUUUUAAAACCUCAUACCCACACACACACACACACAGUAUUUGUAAGCUUAGCAUUUGGAAUUUUAUUUGGAAAGAUUAUUUUGGAUUCAGAUCUUGGCUCUACCACUUAUGACUGUGUUACUCGCUCUGAUUACGCUUCAGUUUCCUCAUCACUAGGACAGAGGUACUGUUAGUGCCCACUCCAUAUAGGUAUUGUGAAAAUUACCUGAUAUAAUACAGACAGUACUUAGUACAAUGACUUACAGUAAAUAUAUAUACAUACAUAUAUAUAUAUAUAUACAUACAUAUAUAUAUAUAUACGCUUUAGUAUUUUUCAGAUACCACACACACACACACACACACACACACACACACACACACAGUUUUGUACAAAUGCCUAAAUUGGAUCAUAUAACAAAUGUUAGGGUUUGGUGUUUUUUUUUUUUUGCUUGUUUCUCUUUUCAUUCUUUUAAUUUUUCCAUACUGGAAUUCCUCCUAUAGGAACUACAACUCCUAUAUGUAUCUUUCCAUAUUUUUCUCCGUAUACCUAUAUACAUUAUAGAGUUUUUUUGAUCACUUUUUUUUAAAGGGGCCAUGUGAUACACUCUUCUGUGUUUUUUUUUUGUUUUUUUUUUUCACUCAACAGGGUCUCAUGGAAAUCCCUCCAAGUCAACUGAUAUCUUUUUAACUAAUUUAUUAGCAGCUAUGUAAUAUUCUGUGGUUUGUACCCUGCGUAAUUCAACCAUUCUCUUCCUGAUGGCCUUCACUCUGUUCCCAGGUUUGUCACAAUCAUCCAUGAUUAAAUAAGUCUCCUGGUACAUAUAUCCUCAUGUUCUUAUUUCUAUGAGGCAGUGUCCAUGACGAGAGAGUGCUGGGUAAAUGUGUUUUUAACUUAAUGGAUCUUGCCAGAUUAAUUUUCUGAUGGACUGUAAAGUCUCACAUUUCUGCAAUAUAUGAGAGUGCUCUUUUUCCAGCAUCCUUGCCAGUAAUAGGUAUUUUGGCUCUUGCUUUGUUUUGUUUUGACAAGCUGAUAGAUAAGAAGUGAAUUUCCUUUUUAUUUUGAGUGGCCUUUCCCUGACUGGCAGUGAGUCUGAACAUCUUAUUUCAUGUUUAUUAGCUAUUUAGAUGCACUUUCAUGUGAAUUGUCCAUCCAUGUUCUCCACCAUUUUCAUUUUAAUUCAUUUCUUCGUUCUUUUUCUUCUUCUUCCUUUUGUUUUGUAAUAUUCUUGUAAGAACUCUGAACGUUUAUGUAUUAACCCUUUUUGUAUCUUUUCAUCGUCAUUCAUUCCUUCCUUCUUUUUCUUGUUCUCUUUUGUUUUGUCAUUUUCUUGUAAGAACUCUAAACAUUUAAAUAUUAACUCUUAUUUAUAUCUCCAUUAAAAAUGUUUUUCUCAAAUUCAUUGCUCAUCUGUUAUACAUUAAUUAUAUUAUUAUUAACCUUUAAUUAUGAUGUAUUUUGCCAUGCAAAGGUGUCUAUUUUUAUAUAGUCAAAUAUAUUAAUCUUUAUUUUUAUGGCUUUUGGAUUUCUUGCCUGUGUUUAGAAGAUUCCCCUUAACCUAAGAUUAUAUAUCUAAUUUCCUCAAUUUUUCUUGAAGUUUUUAUAUUGCUAUAUUUUUAACAUUUGAGUUUCCAGUCUAUGUGAAAGUCAUGUUUACAUAUGAUGUAUAUGAGGGGUCUAAUUUUCCCUUUAAAUGGAAAACCAGUUGUGCCAGCACCAUUUAUUAAAUAAUCUAAACUUCUCACUGAAUUAAGCUACAAUUUUUGCCGUAUAUUAAAAUUAUAUAUAUACACACACACACAUAUGCGUAUGUGUCUUGAGGUUAUCUAGGUAUUCUUUUCUCUUUUCCAUUGAUCCAUUUGUUUAUUCCCAUGUUAAUGCAAUUUUGAUUUGAUUACAGAUUUUUGUUGUGUUUUCUUUAAUAAGCAAAUUUUCCACUUAAAAUUCAUUUGUAUAGUACUUGAUCAUUUUUAGGCAUAUAUUCUCAUUGUGAAUUUACAUUCAUUGUAGCUAAUUAUUCCCUAAUGUCUGCUGGGUUUCUAAUUACAAUCAAAUUAAUUUAUAAAUAUUUUUAGAAAAUGUUAUCAAAAUUUUACAUGUCAAAUUCAGCAGGGGGUCCUAAACAUUCAUUUUGAAGGCCACACUCACACUCAUGGGGACAGACUAAAUGUUGUAGUGUGCUUUUCCCAUCUGUGCUAAGCUCAAGGCUGCCAUUAGGACACAGCAAAGGAGAGGAAGGAAAGUCACUGGAAGCUAGAGAACUUACCAAGGGUAGGCUCUGUCCUCAGGCCUUUGUUCAUGGUGUCCCACCUCACACAGUAGCAUCUUGAUCACAGUUAGGAAGCCCCUAAGCCUUGCAGACUCCAGAACCCAUCACCUUACGCCCUGUCUGUUGGAAGUGUUUGUAGCCACAUUGUUUUAUGUCUGCACAUAAUAAAAAUUAAGAACUUUUUCUAGGAUGGAUUUGAAGAUUUCAUAACUUGGGUGUUUAAAAUAGGAAAUGCUGUGUGAUGAGGACACUGUGCUCUGUGGCUUGCCUCUGUGCUUUGAGUUACGCUCUUCCUUUGCCUUGAGAACCUGCCACCUGCCACAGUUCAGUCCACCCAUGUCUACUUAGCUCCCUGUCCCAUGAAAACAUCCAUAUCUCAAACCAGACUCCCAUGGCCCAUAGCUUUCACUAACACAACAUCACUGUUGUGUUGUAGAUUAUUAUGCCUUCUUUUACCAAACACUUACUGGGCACCUGCCUUGUGGUUGUUCAGACUGCCAGAGAUCCAAUGGGGAACAGGUGGUGGAUUUAUUAUUCUCUCCCCCACAAACUUCAUGCCCAUGAACCAAAUAUUGUUCCCUUGUAUUCAGAGAAUCCCUCACAAUGACUCAUACAUAUAAUAUGUUCAACCAGUGUUAGGGGAGUGAGGAAUAUAUAAAAUGAUUAGGUGACAGGAGGAAUUAUUUGGUUGAAUUAUGAUUUUUCUCAUUUCUGCAUCAAUUAGUUAUCACCUUUUUUUCAGCUUAAAAUUUUUUUCCGUGUUUUGAAUGUGCCGUCUUUGUUGCUUUCUUUCUAAAUGUCCAUGGCCAAAUUUUUCAAAGUUUGCCAGAAUGAAUUUUUCAUUAAAUAAAUAAAGAUUUUUUAGAGUCCUUACUAUAUGUUAGGUACUACAAUAAGCAUUGGGGAGAAAAUGCUGAUUAAAAAUAGAUCCUUAUGAAUAAGAUUGCCAUUUUAAAAAAUGAAAGCUGGGUCAUUUUUCUCCAGAUGGCAUGUAGGCUCAAUAUUUUAAAAUCUAAGACCACAAAAUCUAACAUAUAAAAUAAAUGAUUAUGUCCAUCAGGAGCCUAAAGUGGAUUUGGUAUUUAAUACUUACAUUUAAAUUGAGAAGUGAGUGAACAUAACUGAACAUUCUAGACUUGUGGCUUCAGCAUCUAUAACUAGAAAAAUAUGAGAAUAAGUCAGAAGUAAUCGGGAUCCCCAAUCCUUGAUACUGAA